AAUUCGAUUAGUUUGAUCCUGGCUCAGGACGAACGCUGGCGGCGUGGAUUAGGCAUGCAAGUCGAGCGGGUAAAUGAAGUUUUCGGACUGAAACCAAGCGGCGAACGGGUGAGUAACACGUGAGGAAUCUGCCCCUUCAUUCCGGAUAAUAGUUGGAAACGACUUGCAAUACGGGGGAGGCUCCAACCCAGGCAUCUGGGAUGGAACAAACGAGUUAAAUCGGUGUGGGGAUGAUCUCGCGGCUUAUCAGGUAGUUGGUGGGGUAACGGCCUACCAAGCCUACGACGAGUAGCUGGUCUGAGAGGAUGGUCAGCCACAUUGGAACUGAGACACUGUCCAGACUCCUACGGGAGGCUGCAGUCGAGAAUCUUGGUCAAUGCACGAAAGUGUGAACCAGCGACGCCGCGUGCAGGAUGAAGGCCCUCAGGGUCGUAAACUGCUUUUAUGGGGGAGAAAUAAAUGAUGUUACCCCAUGAAUAAGCCACGGCUAACUACGUGCCAGCAGCC
rnacentral:rRNA from 1 species